rnacentral:lncRNA from 10 species
GUGAACCCAGGAGGCAGAGCUUGCAGCGAGCCCAGAUCGUGCCACUGCACUCCAGCCUGGGCGAUGGAACGAGAAUCCGUUUCAAAAAAAAAAGAAUAGUGAGAUGUGACCAACAUAGCCUGGAAUCUUAAAUUACUGAUAAUGGUGAUUUCUCAUUUAGACAACACUUUUUUCCCCUCCUCAGACAGGGUCUCACUCUGUGGCCCAGGUUGGAGCACACUGGCGCAAUGACGGCUCACUGCAGCCUUGACCUCCUGGACUCAAGCCAUCCUCCCGCCUCAGCCUCCUGAGUAGCUGGGACUACAGGUGUGCACUACCAUGCCUGGCUCCUUUUUUUUAUUUUUUGUAGAGACAGGGUCUCCCUAUGUUGCUCAGGCUGGUCUCGAAUUCUGGGCUCAAGCAAUCCUCUCACCUUGGCCUCCCAAAGUGCUGGGAUUACAGGUGUGAGCCACCACACCCGGCUGCCAACACCACUUUCGAUUUUGGGAUAAUCUGGGUGCACAGUGAUCAGAAGCUUACCUACCCCACGUUGCAUAAAAAAAAGUAUGAAUUUAAAAAUUCCAAGAGUAAACUACCCUAUGAAAACCUCUGGCAGUGCUGAUGAAAACACAUUUCUGGUAGUGAUAUGUCUUGGUCCCUCUGGUCUCACAGAAUGUGUAGUCCUGAGAAAAAAUAAACCUGGACUCUUGGUAAAAUAUUUGAAUAAUUAACUGCUUUGCUCAUUGGUUGUAACUGGCAAGUCAUUCUCUUUACUACAUUAAAGUCUGCACUUUCAUUUUACAGACAGUCCUACAGUUCAACUCCAACAUCAGGGACUGAGUCGUACACAGGAAGAUCACUGAGUAGGUUCUGUGGAGACGCAGUCGGCCCAUAUGCACGUCACCACUCGGCUCCCAGCUCAGGUGCAGACCAACGGCGACCACUUGCUCCACUUUGCUCUGUGACAGCAGACGAGGUAAGGCAUGUUGCAGAUACAUGCUGAAUAUAGGGAUGCCUGUACACAAAACUGCACUCAUGCUGUGAUAACACGCAAAAGGUCACACACUGGAAGAGCCUUGCCCAACGAACGAUAGACUAACAGGCCAGAGGCGGGGAAAGCUUCUCGGAGUCCCACUAUCUUCUUUGUUUUUAUUGCUCCUACUUACUUAUGUGAUACCUUUUUAGUAGAAUGACUAGUUUUCUAAACAGAACCUGUAAUGACAGGCUCACAUUUCUUCCUCAACUCCCACCUCCAAAGCCACUCCAUUCAAAGAACUGCUGGUGAGGUGCUGGGGAGUCAAUCCGUCGUAGAGGGGAAGCGUUCUACCCCUCCAGAUCCUUCUGCAGACAGGAGGGUGUCUGCAUUCGGCGGAGUCCAAGAGUGCGGUGAGGACACAGUGGCAAAGGAAUAAUGCCAUUCCUUGAGGCAGCGCUGGGCUAGUAGAGACCUGUGAGGAAGUAAUGUGUCCUGUGGGGAUUUCAGGGUAAUUUAAUCAGCAGCACUUCAGCAGGGUAGAAAGCAAGGGCGGGGAAAAAUAAUGAAGUCAGCACUCAGCUACCAGGAGCUCCUCUGUUCAAUCUAACGGGGAGAUAUGACCCCAGAGCAGGGCUUCCCUCCCUCCACCCGGCUCCCACUUCCAGCCAGGUAAUUCUGUGUCGUGGGGGCUGUUGGGCACCAUCCCUGGCCUCCCUCCACGAGUGCCCACAGUACUGCCCUCCUCCCCACCUGUGACAAAAAUGUCUCCAGACAUUGCCAAAUGUUCCCUGGGGGGCAAAAUUGCCCCUGUUGAGCACCACUGCCCUAGAUGAACUGGAAAAGUUGGUUUGUGAAUAUGUGAGCUUAGUUGUUUCUAACACAGGGCUGAAAAACAAGAGAAGGGGACAAAGGCUGCUUUCAUAUAAAAAUGUACUGUAGUAAUCAGUAAGAAAAAGAAACAACAUUGGCUAAGUCACGAAUAGGCAUUUCACCAUAUGUACAUGAUAAAUGGCCAAUCAAAAUAAGGAAUGGGGCUCAUUCUGCUGGAAAUUAAAUACAUUCAAACAAGAACAGAGAUCCAUUAGCAAAAUGUUUAAAAAUAAUAUCACAGGGUUACCAGGGGUAUGACAAAAAUGGACACUUCCAUACACACUAGGUGAAUAUAUUGGUGAAAAUAGUUCAGAUAAACAUACAACCAUGUAUGUAAAAGUAUUUAUCAUCAAUGCAUUAUUUGUAGUAGCAAAAACAACAAGCAGCCUUGGAAACCAGUUAAUGUCCUCAGCAGGGAAUUAAUAAUAUUAUUGUAUAUUCAUGAAAUUGACACCAUGUGGCCACACAAAUGCAUUACACAGGCCUCUAUGUAACAUAGGAUAUUCAUUAGAGAAUUGUUUUUCAAGAGGACAAAGUACUUUCAUUUUUGCCUAGAAAAUGGGGGAAGACAAAAAUGCGCUUCUCUCUAGGUUGUGUGAUUUUAGGUUAUCCUAAGUUUCAUCCUUACGUGCUCCUGAAUUAUCUGAAAUAUCGUAUCUUUAAAAACAGUAACAACAAUAGUAACAAGAGCUCUGUAAUUCCUACCCUUCCAACCUCAGGAGCCCACCCACCCCUAUCCGAGCCGACCCCUGACUGCCCCUGCCAUUGCUCCCUGCUGAGUUGCAGACAUUGACUUCUUGCCAAGCCUCAGGCCUUGCUCACAUCGACACCUCACAGUGACCCUGAGAGGCAGAUGCUGUGACCCCAUUUCACAGAUGAAGGGCCUGAGCCACAGAGGAGGAAGACUGCCUCAGCCACGCCGCUAGUAAGUGGUCCUAGGUUGGGAGCUGGGAGCCUGGAGCACGUGCCAGGUGCUCUGCAGCCCAGCUUCAUUAUGGAGGCUCAAGCGCUGUGAAUUUCCAAAAACAGUGAACACACCCCUAGCUGAUUGAAAUACAAAAAACAUAUUCCACAGCCAAAUGAAAAUGACUUUUGGAUCCUCCACCUAAUUUGGGUGUUUAUGCCGCCUCGCCCCUCUUUUGGCCUGGACAAUUGAAAUAUAUCUGCUCUCAGGGGAGACGCCCACGGUGUCAGGGCUGGAGUUGGCAAGAGACAGGGGGAAGAGGACUAGACCUGGAGUCAGAGAUGAAGUUCUUGUCUGGGAUCUGUCACUAAGUCUCAGCGGGGACCCAGGAAGUCACUCCACCUCUCAUAGUUCCUCAUCCACAAAGUGGAAAUACAAGCAAGUUUAAUUCUCCAUCGUAAGGUUGGAGCUCCUGUCUGUGAAAGGACUGGAAAUGUAAAAUGCGCUCUUCAAGUACAAAGGCAGAGAGGAUCCAUAAACAGGCACAGGCUGCCCUUUGGUAUAAACUGUUCACAUUAAAUCUAUGUUAUGUU